rnacentral:rRNA from 1 species
UGGGGAAUAUUGCACAAUGGGCGAAAGCCUGAUGCAGCGACGCCGCGUGAGUGAAGAAGUAUUUCGGUAUGUAAAGCUCUAUCAGCAGGGAAGAAAAUGACGGUACCUGACUAAGAAGCCCCGGCUAACUACGUG